rnacentral:rRNA from 1 species
AGGACGAACGCUGGCGGCGCGCCUAACACAUGCAAGUCGAGCGAGAACCAGGGCUUGCCCUGGGGACAGCGGCGAACGGGUGCGUAACACGUGAGCAACCUGCCCCAAAGACCGGGACAACCCGAGGAAACUCGGACUAAUACCGGAUGCCCUCACCGGGCCGCAUGGUCUGGUGAGGAAAUGGAUUCCGCUUUGGGAUGGGCUCGCGGUCUAUCAGCUUGUUGGUGGGGUAACGCCUACCAAGGCGACGACGGAUAGCUGGUCUGAGAGGACGAUCAGCCACACUGGGACUAAGACACGGCCCAGACUCCUACGGGAGGCAGCAGUGGGGAAUCUUGCGCAAUGGGGGAAACCCUGACGCAGCGACGCCGCGUGCGGGAUGAAGGCCUUCGGGUUGUAAACCGCUUUCAGCAGGGACGAAAUUGACGGUACCUGCAGAAGAAGGCCGGCCAACUACGUGCCAGCAGCCGC